rnacentral:lncRNA from 1 species
CCAAAUACUUAUACUAAGAGCUCAUUUGGUAUUGAGUCACAUUUAAUAUUAGUAGAUAAAAUAAAAUUGAGACGAAAGCAUAUCAAAAUAUAGUUUUAUAUUUUUUGAUAAAAUCGUAUAAAAUAUGUUAUGGUCAACUCAUUGCGUGACGCAGAAUGUAAUAUUACGUAUAAACAUAAAUAUAAUAUUUUUUUUAUAGAACUUUCUCAGUGCAUGUAACUUAAUUUUUUUCGUAUUUUUUUUUUUCUGAGAGAAAGGUAGUAUGCUACCCGUUUCGUUUAUUUCUUUUAAAAAUAAAUUUAACUGAAAAUAUGAAUCAAUUAGAAUUCGAACUUGGGACCUCAGUUACAGUGGGUUAGAAGAAACAAAGAUUGAUUCCA